ACCCAUUUAGCUCAGUUUUUAUAGCACCAGACUCCUAAUCUGGCUGUCGCGUGUUCGAGCCUCGCUUCGGUU
rnacentral:tRNA from 1 species